GGGCCGGUAGUUCAGCUUGGUUAGAACGUCCGCCUUACACGCGGAAGGUCAGGAGUUCAAUUCUCCUCCGGCCCACCA
rnacentral:tRNA from 1 species